rnacentral:lncRNA from 7 species
AUGACAAAAAGCAACCUUGCAGGAAUGGAGGAAUCUGUCCAGAGCUGUGCCCCUGCUUGCCACAGGAGCUGCGCGGGAGGAGAAGAACGUGGGCCAAAAGGAAUGGAGGAAUCUGUCCAGAGCUGUGCCCCUGCUUGCCACAGGAGCUGCGCGGGAGGAGAAGAACGUGGGCCAAAAGGUAAGAGGAGCUCCUUUGGGUUCUGGGCUUGAAGCAAAGCUGAGAAGCCAUGCCCGGGAGGAGGUGUGGGUAGCUACAGGCCACCUUGCUAUCUCCCCAAGAGAUGAGGUGUGUGGGCUAGGCACCGGGCAGGAGUGCUGGCCAGAAGCAAGCAUCUCUGUGGAGGAAGGCAAAGGGCGGAGGAGGUUCAAGGGUAGCUACCGGGCAUGGCCUUGCUCAGCAAGGGGAGGAAAAGCCUGAAGGGCACGAGAAGGGGAUAGAGAAGGGCAGGCAGUAGGCGUGAAGCUGCGAGCAGAGUAGAGAGCAACUUGGCAGAGCAGCAAGCAGAGUAGGCAAGUGUUGAGGUUUGGCGUGAGUAGCAGCAAAAGCCCAGAGCAUCAAGAAGCAGGAAGUGAGGAGAAGGUAAGUGAAGGGCAGGCAAGGUAAUGGGAGGCAAAGGCAAGGGGAAAGGGGGGGUAAGGGAGAAAGAAGGGAUGGGGAUGGGGAGGGGAUGGGUGAAGAGCAGAGCGGAGGGAAGGGCUGAGGGGAGGGCUGAAGGCAAACCUAUGAUGAAAAAAGAAAAG